GACGAAGGUGGCGAGCGUUACUCGGAAUUACUAGGCGUAAAGCGCGUGUAGGCGGUUCGGUAAGUCUGCUGUGAAAGUCGGGGGGCUCAACCCCUCGAAUGCCGGUGGAUACUGUCGGACUAGAGUGCGGAAGAGGCGAGUGGAAUUCCUGGUGUAGCGGUGAAAAUGCGCAGAUAUCAGGAGGAACACCAAUUGCGAAAGGCAGCUCGCUGGGGACGUUUACUGACGCUGAGAACGCGAAAAAGCGUGGGGG
rnacentral:rRNA from 1 species